rnacentral:tRNA from 3 species
GCCCUGGUGGUGGAAUUGGUAGACACAAGGGAUUUAAAAUCCCUCGGCGUUCGCGCUGUGCCGGUUCAAGUCCGGCCCGGGGUACCA